rnacentral:rRNA from 1 species
UACGUAGGGUCCGAGCGUUACUCGGAAUUACUGGGCGUAAAGCGCACGUAGGCGGCUUUGUAAGUUAGAGGUGAAAGCCCAGGGCUUAACCCUGGAAUUGCCUUUAAGACUGCAUCGCUAGAAUCGUGGAGAGGUGAGUGGAAUUCCGAGUGUAGAGGUGAAAUUCGUAGAUAUUCGGAAGAACACCAGUGGCGAAGGCGACUCACUGGACACGUAUUGACGCUGAGGUGCGAAAGCGUGGGGAGCAGACAGG